CCUACGGGAGGCAGCAGUAGGGAAUCUUUCACAAUGGGGGAAACCCUGAUGCAGCGACGCCGCGUGCGUGAUGAAGUAUUUCGGGUUGUAAAGCGCUUUCAUCAGCGAAGAAAAUGACGGUAACUUACGAAUAAGCCUCGGCUAACUACGUGCCAGCAGCCGCGGUCAUACGUAGGGUGCGAGCGUUAUCCGGAGUUACUGGGUGUAAAGAGUUACGUAAGUGGCAUACAAAAGAGAUAGGAAAAUCUGGUGGCUCAACCACUGAGACUAUUAGCGAAACUGUUGAGCUGGAGAGCAGUAGGGGUAAGUGGAAUUUCUAGUGUAGGAGUGAAAUGCGUAGAUAUUAGAAGGAACACCAGUGGCGUAGGCGGGUUACUGGAACGGUUCUGACGCUAAGGCACGAAAGCGUAGGGAGCAAACAGGAUUAGAUACCCUGGUAGUC
rnacentral:rRNA from 1 species